GGGGGUAUAAUGUCAAUGGAAGAAUAGUUCUUUUGCAAAGAAAAAGUUAGCGGUUCGAUUCCGCUUAUCUCCA
rnacentral:tRNA from 1 species